rnacentral:ribozyme from 1 species
CAAUGAACGUAGGAAUUAAAAUGGCUGAAGAUAGAAAGAAAAAGUAAGCCACUCAUUGUAGUACACAAGUUCGGACCUUUAAGUGUAUUUCUUUUGGUUUGUUUUCGUUUGUCCUUACUACUCUUUGAUGCAUUUUUGU